CACGUAGGGGGCGAGCGUUGUCCGGAAUCAUUGGGCGUAAAGAGCUCGUAGGCGGCUCGGUAAGUCGGGUGUGAAACCCCCAGGCUCAACCUGGGGACGCCACCCGAUACUGCUGUGGCUAGAGUCCAGUAGGGGAGUGUGGAAUUCCCGGUGUAGCGGUGAAAUGCGCAGAUAUCAGGAGGAACACCAAUGGCGAAGGCAGCACUCUGGGACGUGACUGACGCUGAGACGCGAAAGCGUGGGGAGCAAACAGG
rnacentral:rRNA from 1 species